rnacentral:rRNA from 1 species
ACGAACGCUGGCGGCACGCUUAACACAUGCAAGUCGAACGAGAGAAGAGAAGCUUGCUUUUCUGAUCUAGUGGCGGACGGGUGAGUAACACGUGAGCAAUCUGCCUUUCAGAGGGGGAUACCGAUUGGAAACGAUCGUUAAUACCGCAUAAUAUAAUUGAACCGCAUGAUUUGAUUAUCAAAGAUUUAUCGCUGAAAGAUGAGCUCGCGUCUGAUUAGCUAGUUGGUAAGGUAACGGCUUACCAAGGCGACGAUCAGUAGCCGGACUGAGAGGUUGAUCGGCCACAUUGGGACUGAGACACGGCCCAGACUCCUACGGGAGGCAGCAGUGGGGAAUAUUGCACAAUGGAGGAAACUCUGAUGCAGCGAUGCCGCGUGAGGGAAGAAGGUUUUAGGAUUGUAAACCUCUGUCUUCAGGGACGAAAAAUGACGGUACCUGAGGAGGAAGCUCCGGCUAACUACGUGCCAGCAGCCGCGGUAAUACGUAGGGAGCGAGCGUUGUCCGGAAUUACUGGGUGUAAAGGGAGCGUAGGCGGGAUCGCAAGUCAGAUGUGAAAACUAUGGGCUUAACCCAUAAACUGCAGUUGAAACGGUGGUUCUUGAGUGAAGUAGAGGUAAGCGGAAUUCCUAGUGUAGCGGUGAAAUGCGUAGAUAUUAGGAGGAACAUCAGUGGCGAAGGCGGCUUACUGGGCUUUAACUGACGCUGAGGCUCGAAAGCGUGGGGAGCAAACAGGAUUAGAUACCCUGGUAGUCCACGCCGUAAACGAUGAUUACUAGGUGUGGGGGGACUGACCCCUUCCGUGCCGCAGCAAACGCAAUAAGUAAUCCACCUGGGGAGUACGACCGCAAGGUUGAAACUCAAAGGAAUUGACGGGGGCCCGCACAAGCAGUGGAGUAUGUGGAUUAAUUCGAAGCAACGCGAAGAACCUUACCAGGUCUUGACAUCGUAUGCAUAGCUCAGAGAUGAGUGAAAUCUCUUCGGAGACAUAUAGACAGGUGGUGCAUGGUUGUCGUCAGCUCGUGUCGUGAGAUGUUGGGUUAAGUCCCGCAACGAGCGCAACCCUUACUGUUAGUUGCUACGCAAGAGCACUCUAGCAGGACUGCCGUUGACAAAACGGAGGAAGGUGGGGAUGACGUCAAAUCAUCAUGCCCCUUAUGACCUGGGCCUCACACGUACUACAAUGGCUGUCAACAGAGGGAAGCAAAGCCGCGAGGUGGAGCAAACCCCUAAAAGCAGUCUUAGUUCGGAUUGUAGGCUGCAACCCGCCUACAUGAAGUCGGAAUUGCUAGUAAUCGCAGAUCAGCAUGCUGCGGUGAAUACGUUCCCGGGCCUUGUACACACCGCCCGUCACGCCAUGGGAGUCGGUAACACCCGAAGCCUGUAGUCUAACCGCAAGGAGGACGCAGUCGAAGGUGGGAUUGAUGACUGGGGUG